rnacentral:ncRNA from 3 species
UACAGAGGGUGCGAGCGUUAAUCGGAAUUACUGGGCGUAAAGCGUGCGUAGACGGUUUUGUAAGUCGGAUGUGAAAUCCCCGGGCUCAACCUGGGAAUUGCAUUCGAGACUGCAAGGCUUGGGUGCGGAAGAGGGAAGCGGAAUUUCCGGUGUAGCGGUGAAAUGCGUAGAUAUCGGAAGGAACAUCAGUGGCGAAAGCGGCUUCCUGGUCCAGCACCGACGUUCAGGCACGAAAGCGUGGGGAGCAAACAGG